rnacentral:rRNA from 1 species
AACGAACGCUGGCGGCAGGCCUAACACAUGCAAGUCGAACGAACCUUUCGGGGUUAGUGGCGGACGGGUGAGUAACACGUGGGAACGUGCCUUUAGGUUCGGAAUAACUCAGGGAAACUUGUGCUAAUACCGAAUGUGCCCUUCGGGGGAAAGAUUUAUCGCCUUUAGAGCGGCCCGCGUCUGAUUAGCUAGUUGGUUGAGGUAAUGGCUCACCAAGGCGACGAUCAGUAGCUGGUCUGAGAGGAUGAUCAGCCACAUUGGGACUGAGACACGGCCCAAACUCCUUCGGGAGGCAGCAGUGGGGAAUCUUGCGCAAUGGGCGAAAGCCUGACGCAGCCAUGCCGCGUGAAUGAUGAAGGUCUUAGGAUUGUAAAAUUCUUUCACCGGGGACGAUAAUGACGGUACCCGGAGAAGAAGCCCCGGCUAACUUCGUG